ensembl:lncRNA
AAAGUGGGAUCCUUGGUUCUCUCCCUCAUGCGUCUCGCUCCCGUCUGGCCUGCGUGUGGGAGAUCAACCCUGGGAGUAUGAGACGUGUUGAGUGGUGGGAGACGCAGGCACAGAAGCCCGUAAAGAGAUCUCCUGGCAGCUGGGAGGACCAACACGGGGGGCGAGAGUACUGCAGAUGAACACAGCGAGAGAACCUUCGCCUCAAGAUGGCCGCCGACAAGAAGCAGAUUUUCAGAGUCGGGGAUUUGCAUUUCAUUUCGGAACGUUACAUGGAAUGCAAAUCCCCAGUUGCUGUCGGCCAAGGAUUUCUGAGUCUGAUUUCAUAACUUUUCCAGUAGGGUUUUUCAUUUGAAGGGCACCAUACUUAUCCACAACGGGCCCACGCUAAACCCAUCGUCAUCGCCAGCAUUCACGCCGGAUAUCGUGGAGUCUUUAACUAUAGAUAAUAAUAAUAAUUACAGUGUAAACACAUGGCAGUAUUAAACUUUGUGUGCUAACAUCCAACAUCAACAGAAUUCUCCGCGUCUAGGAUUCCAAGAAGACGUUUAUGAACACAAGAUGGAUUCCAACACAGAUUAACUGUGUUUGGGUUGAAUGGUGACCUCUUUUUGAGAGUUUGUGAGGUGUAGCAAAACCAGAAUUAUAUCUCUUGAAACUCAUAAAUAAAGUUAAUUCUGAGAAGUAUAAACUAUUUGACAGCAUGUCAGCAAUGACCGACGUGGCUGUUAUUGCCGCACAACGCCUGCAAAGAAUGAAACAUCUACGUAUAAGCAACGUGUCCAUUCAAAUAAAAAUGAAUCUCAGUCCUCACUGA